AUAGAUGGGUGGUUAGGCCUUGUCUGUGUCAGGUUUUUCCUUUUUUCAGGUAUUGGAGAGCAGGCAAAAGAGGGAGACUCACAAGAGCAUCGGUGGAGAUUUCUCUAAAAAAUGCUGGAGAACAGCAGUUGGGGUUUUGUUGGGGCUGUCUUUGUUUAUUUGCAGAUUGGAGUGGAGCAGAAGAAGGAGAACGGUGGAGAUAUACUUGAAGACCUGGAGCUCAUGAAGCAGGUUGGUAUGGAGCAUGUGAAGGAACAGGGAAACACACUGUAAUGACAAGUGCAUCGUAAUAAAUUAGAGUAAGUGUCACAGAAGGGACGAGAUUCAGUUCAGUAAUAUAACAGGACGUCAGGCUUGGAGACUGGAGACGGAUACCACAGACAGCAAACAGGAUGAAGACUAGACGAGGAACCAGGAGACACCUCACUAGGAGAGACACUGGAACUCACAGGAGAUGUGCUUGUGGUGCUUCAGUGAGUGGAAUACCUGGUCUUAAUGGGGCAGUAAGUGGUUGUCAGAUAUUUCCUUCAGAUAGACAGAAAUAGAUACAAUAUUUUUGUUUGUAUGCUUCAUUUGUAUAUCGCUAUCUAACUUAACAUUUGCAGAUUGUUAUUUGUUAUAUGAUCGGAUAAAUUGAUCUGUUCUAAUUUAUUUGUAUGCUGUCAGAGUUACCACAUUGAAUAUUACUGCACGUCUGUUGUCAGAUAGAUUGUCUGGCUGUUGUAUUAUUUAUUAGUAAUUUAUGCUGU